rnacentral:misc_RNA from 1 species
AAACGACGUUAUGCAUGAACGUAAUGCUCAUAACUUCCCUCUAGAUUUAGCUGCUAUCGAAGCUCCAACAAAUGGAUAAGACUUGGUCCUAGUGUAUAGGAGUUUUUGAAAAGAAAAUUAAGGAGCAAUAAAUUCUCUGGUUCUAUCAAGAGAAUUUAUUGCUCCUUAAUUUUCUUUUCAAUUGUUUUUUAGUAAUAUUGUACUUACUUAAACUUUUUUUCUUUCCAGUACAGAAAAAGGAAAAAGAAGAAGGAAAUAUUCUAUUCUUAGUCUUAGGGGUUGAUUAAUGAUUGAGUACUAUUCGGUCGUUUUCUAGAAAUAUGAAUUUUUUGCAUCUAUCUACCUUAUCUAAUUUCUUGUUAAAUACGUACA